GGCCAGGAAGGACCAGAGGACUCGCCAUCCUUAUGAUAGGAGGAACAAGGGGAGGGGCCAAGGACGCCAGCAACCAGCACGCCGGGAAUACAAUCGCCCGCCUAAGCACAAGUUUGUUAUGGGAUUGGCGGACCUGAUCGCCAUUCCCAAUAUAUCUGCUAGGUUGAAAGCGCCUGAGAAGGUGGGUGACAAGGUGCUGGGACCAAAGCCAGACGCCUGGUGUGAGUUUCACCAGGGCUUUGGCCACACUUUGGACUCGUGUUUGUCCUUAGGGUAUCAGCUCGAUGAUCUGGUUAAGAGCGGGUUCCUAAAUGACUAUCUGCUGGACAGAAGAACGGGGGGAGCGUCGAGUUCCCAGCCAGCAGGUGGAGAAGCCCAGCAACACGAGAUGCCCAUCCACGGGGAAAUCCACACCAUCGCAGGAGGCUUCUCAGGUGGUGGAUGCACCGCAUCGCAGAGGAAGAAGUACGCGCGGUCGGUGAUGACAGUGGAUAUGUUUGAAUAUCACUCGCCGGAGGUGGACAUUACGUUCACCAAGCAGGAUCUUCGGGACGUUGUGCCCCAUGACAACGAUCCCAUAGUCAUUUCGUUGAUUACGGCGGGAAGGAAGGUCCACAGAGUUCUGGUGGACCAGGGAAGCUCGGCAGACGUGAUGUUCUGGUCGACUUUCACGCAGCUGGAAUUGCCCCUUGACCAGCUAAGGCCCUAUGGAGGGUGCCUAUAUGGGUUCGCUGGCGACCAGGUGGAGGUCAGGGGGUACAUUGAGUUGAGAACCACGUUUACAGACGAGGCUGGUUCGAGGACGGAGAAAAUCAAGUACCUCAUUGUAAACGCCCCUUCAGCAUACAACAUCCUGUUGGGAAGGCCCACGCUUAACAGGAUAGGCACUAUACCGUCGACUCGGCACAUGAAGGUGAAGUUGCCG
rnacentral:lncRNA from 1 species